rnacentral:rRNA from 1 species
UACGUAGGGGGCAAGCGUUGUUCGGAAUUAUUGGGCGUAAAGGGCGUGUAGGCGGUUCGUUAAGUCUUCUGUGAAAUCUACGGGCUUAGCCUGUAACGUGCAGAGGAAACUAGCGGGCUUGAGUGUCGGAGAGGAUAGGGGAAUACCCAGUGUAGAGGUGAAAUUCGUAGAGAUUGGGUGGAACACCAGUGGCGAAGGCGCCUAUCUGGCUGACAACUGACGCUGAGACUCGAAAGCAUGGGGAGCAAACAGG